GAUAAUAUUAACAUUAUAACAUCCAUUCUUUGCUCUUUUAAUAAACAUACAGAUUUCUUUGUUGGCUCAGUGAACACAUUUGGCUUCCAAGAUUUUCCUGUCUAUUAAUUGCGUGUCCAUUGACUCUUCAGUCCAUAAUUCAGUGAACACCUCACACAUACAGAAAUAAAACUGUCUUGCUGAUUACAGAAUCAUAGACUUUUAACAGGAAAACUCUUUUCAAUUUAGCUUCUGUCUACAAACAAAACUCAUAAUUCCAGGUAUAUUAAGGGCAGAUUUAGGAAAAAAAAACCUGUAUGUGCAUUAAGCAAAAUUACAUUUUCUAAUUACAGAAAUGUACAUAAUUUAAAAGGCAAUUGACCAACAAAUGUUGUGUGUGAAUCUGUUUAACCCAACUACAUAAGUAAUUUAUAAAGUGGGAAUAUAGCUAAGAUAAUCAUUUGCAGAGGCAGUAUAAAUAGUAGUUAAGAAAAGGUUGAAUGUUUGCCUGCUUUUCUGUAUUUCCACAGAGAUGUCCUAUGGAAACAGGAGGAGAGGAAAAACCUGCAACAAAAUCCAAGCAGGAAGUUACAUUUAAGAUUUCAGUCACUUCUGCAGGAAGCUCAGAAAGAUUCAACGGCAUUACCAGGUCCUUAGGGAACAUGUUUCCAAACAAAAUCUAGGAGCUACACAACAGCCACUCACCUUCAACACUGAGCCAGCUGGGUACGUAGUGCCAAUGCUGUCACCUUUCCAGUGGGAAAGAAACACAAAUUCCUAACAAAUGUGGGCACUAGGAAUGUCACUGCUCUUUGCCCAGCAACGUGGCAGCCAUCAUCAGCUCUGCCUCAGCACUGCCAGGGAGUUUAUUCAUCGUAAUCCAAACAACCUUAAACUGGCAAACUUCCCUCCUCUGCUCUGAUGGUUAAAAGCUACUGGCUCCAACUCCACCUCAAUGAUAAGCGAAAAGAGUUUGGUGUUAAACAAUCUAUUUUUGUCUAAAUAUUGGUUCCCUGUCUGAAGUUAAGAUAAUGAAUAGUGGAUAUGUUAUGGACAGUGGAAGCUGAAAGUCAAACUAAUUUACAGAUGGAUCCUGAAAACUCAGCACAGUUGGACUGCUGAAAUCAAAAGGUUUCAAUAUCUUAUUUUCUAUCUUAACCUAAAAAGGACAGUCUGGUGAUAUUUCAGGUUAAAAUUGAGAUCAGGAUAACAAUCAGAAUUUUGAAAAUGUCAGAAGUUCUGUACAUGACUGGAAUCAACUUAGUCCAAACAGCUAUGAAGAGGGUGAUAUCAGGAGUAAUCAAUUCCUGAUCUUAUUGUUUCCUGUGUGUAUAAUGAAUUAUAUAAACAUAAAUCCUCAAGAGUUAAGUUUAUGUUUGGGUUCUUCAAAAUAUAAACAAAAUUACUUCCCUAUGCAGAUUAUGCUCAGCAAAUCCUAGAGGACUUCAAAGGCUGUUCUUUGGCUUUUAAAGUCUUUUUACCCCCAGUCCAACUGAUCGAUAUGGGCCUAGCCAAGUGGCUGCCUCCAUGAUUGGUGCCUCCAAUUCCUCCCAGCCCUCUCAAAAGGACUCAGCAUAGAAUCAGUGUUCUCAGCCUGUAUUUUGCUUUGACAAUUUAUGCUUCUAUAUUGCAUCUGAAAAAAAUCAUCAGUAACUCAAAUGGGCAUAGGAAAAUACAUUGUUUUUUCCCCGUCAACCUAUGAUACCACUGAACUGUUUGAUGAGGGAAAGUUUCAUUUGCCUUUCGGCCAUCAGGCAUUGGCCAGCAUUCAAGGAAACAUACCCAUUCAGAUGAAGAACUGGCUUGUUUCAGUACUGACCAGCCAAAUUCAUCCUUGGAGUAAAACCAAUUAAUAUUUGUAAGGGAUAUAUGGCAGACAUUAAUUUAGGCCAUCGUAAGAGGUAAAAGUGGUAUAUUCUAAAUAUCCUGGAGGACAUACCAAUAGGUUAUAUUCUAGAGAAAUCAUGUAAAUCUGAGAAACACGAGUUGUAUUUUUAACUUACAUGAAAAAAAAGGUAACUGAGUUAGUAAUAGCUCUAUAAAGUGUUUAUCUCCACAAAGAAAAACUGCCAAAGUACCCACAUCCAGCAUCUUUCCUCACCUCAUUUUAGAAAGCAUAUGGAUAGAAAAAUGGCACAAAUAUCUAUAUACAGUUUAGUAAAAAAAGCAUUGACCCUGACUGCCUUGCUUCAGAAGUACAUUUUAGACCACUCAUUCACCAUCAAUACUAGUGCAAAAGCAAAUACCAAAGACUAAAUCUCUGCCACUGAAGGCUGAAUUCGUUGUGGAGCCUUGUGGUGAGUCCCGGUUGCCCUUUGGACAAGGGAAAACACUAGGAAAUCCACAUGCCAGAGCUCUCUAUCUCCCAUGUGGGGAAAAAUGAUCCUGCUUGGAAAAGGAGGCUGCAGUGAAGGAACAUGCCAUGAAACUUGCAUCAGGGAAGUAUUCUGGCCACUGCAACUUACAGCAUACCUGGAACUGUGCUAGUUUACUACCUGGACUUACCCUCUGUUGACUUAUCACAAGGAAAAAUUACAUUUUAUUAUUUGGGCUUUUAGGGAUUCUCGGUCACAGCCUUAAUGGCACAAACAGUGUUUCAAUACUUAUUGGGAAAGACAAUAAGAAAACAACUGCUUUGCCUUCCAAUGGCAGAAAUUAGUUUUUAAAAAGUGGAGGAUUAAAUUACAUGCCCCAAGGACCACAGAACUUCCUUGUACUUAAAAAAUUGUAAAGCAGCGAGGCACAGAGAAUUUCUGAAUCAGACUGACAUUCACCCACAGUAUCUUGGAGUCACCGAGAUAGAACUUUCAGUUAUGUUUGCUGUCUGGAAAAUAUCAAUAAAACAGAGAACCUACGUAAAUACCAUUCAGAAGCACCCAUAUCCACCCUCAGGAUUGCAGUGCAAACUCUGACCCUGCCUCCAGCAGGAAGGCAUCUGCUUGCUUGGUAUGAGAGCUCAUAUAUGAGAUUCCCAGACAUGAAAAUUGUAAAGCUUUUAUAGUGACAAGUGGCAUAUUAUACCAGCUUCAAUUGCCUACCUUUCAUUACUGCUAUUGGACCAGAAAAUAUCAUACAUGACGUAGCUGCAUUAUUGAGGUAUUUAAAAAAGCAAA